rnacentral:rRNA from 1 species
UACGUAGGGGGCAAGCGUUGUCCGGAGUUACUGGGCGUAAAGCGCACGCAGGCGGUCUCUUAAGUUUGGAGUGACAGUUGGUGGCUUAACUGCCAAGGUGCUUCGAAAACUGAGAGACUUGAGGGCUUCAGAGGGACACGGAAUUCCGGGUGGAGUGGUGAAAUGCGUAGAGAUCCGGAGGAACACCAAAGGCGAAGGCAGUGUCCUGGGGAGUACCUGACGCUCAGGUGCGAAAGCCAGGGGAGCGAACGGG